GUUAGUCAGUUGCGAAAGGCGGGUGUAAUACGUAGGGUGUAGGUGUUAAUCGGAAGUACUUGGCGUAAAGCGUGCGCAGGAGGUUUUGGAAGACAGGUGUGAAAUCCCCGGGCUUAACCUGGUAAGUGAGUUUGUUACUGCAAGGCUGGAGUUCGGCAGAGGGGGAUGGAAUUCCGCGUGUAGCAGUGAAAUGCGUAGAUAUGCGGAGGAACACCGAUGGCGAAGGCAAUCCCCUGGGCCUGCACUGACGCUCAUGCACGAAAGCGUGGGGAGCAAACAGGAUUAGAUACCCGGGUAGUC
rnacentral:rRNA from 1 species